GUUGACUGGCUUUCCCCGGCAUCGAUAACAACGACCCAUGAGGGGCGAGCCGGGGCGGAGCAAAUCCUCUGGGCGAGGAUGCCUGGUGUCUCUCGGGCUCUGAUAGCCACCAUCCACGAGGAGGAGCUCUCAUCUGUGACAGCCUUCCUCUCCCUGAGCAUCCACCUUUCUACAGGUGAGGAUGACAGCCCCCAGUGGCCUGAGAGAAAAUGAGAAGGAGACAUCUUCAUUUUGUUGAUCCACAACCAAGAAAACUAACAGAAGGAAAAAGGAAUAGAUAUUUGUCUCUAGGCUCAAGCAAUUGCAACCCUCCUCCCAAAGUCAUCAUACAAGAAGACAAGGCCCCAGGCCAGACCAGGAAUACAAUCUGCAUAAAUGUUGUCUGGACAAAGCCCUUGCCCCCAUCCCCCUCCUGAUUUUUCCUGCAUGGCACUUGUCAGAAAAAGGAAAAUCUGAAAGAACAAUGUUUAAAAGUGGCCCAAGAUGGCUGCAGGUUGAGCAUAUAGGUAAUAGAAACUAGACCUAUGAACUAAAGCUGAACUCUAGCCUGAAAGGCUAAAGUUUGUCUUUUUUUGUCUUUUUUUUUUUUUUUGAGACAGAGUCUUGCUCUGUUGCCCAGGCUGGAGUGCAGUGGCAUGAUUUCGGCUCACUGCAACCUGCUGCCUCCUAGGUUCAAGUGAUCCUCCUGCCUCAGCCUCCCAAGUAGCUGGGACUAUAGGCACACACCACCAUGUCUGGCUACUUUUUGUAUUUUUUUUUUUUUUUUUAGCAGAGUCAGGGUUUUGCCAUGUUGGGCAAGCUGGUCUCAAACUCCUGACCUCAGGUAACCACCUACGUCUGCUUCCCAAAGUUCUGGGAUUACAGCCGCGAGCCACCACACCCAGCCAUGUCAAAUGUUUUCACUGAUGUCUACUGAUUGUAACCUUGCCUAGCAGAUGAAGCACAAAGGCAGUGUCAACUGAAAAGUGACAUAACAGGCACUUGAACUUAAAGAAGUCAUGGUUAGAUUUAUUCUCAGCCAAGUUUGAGGAGUUAUGCCUGAGAACACAGACUUAGAAUAGACCUACAAUAGGUCCCAAAGUAGUUUACAUGAGGCACAGUAUACUUAAAUUUUCUAACGGGGAUGUGUGUGGCACAGGAGGGAGAAGUGGUUAAUGAAACAGUGGUUACAUUGUUGUGAUUCUGAUGAGUGCUCAGUGAUGCCAUACAUAAGGUAAAUAUACAGUUGAGUGAGUAGGGAGAAAGGCUAAGCAUCUUAGAGUCUGGUGGAGGAAGGGUGACUAAUUCCAUUCUGUCUUUGUUCUACAUCUGAUAAACAGGUUCAUGGCCAGCCCCUGUCAACAAACUCCAGUUACACAGGCAAGAGAUCAGCUUUAGUUUAUAGGCCUGGGUUUUAUUACCCAUAUGCCCAACUGCAGCCAUUGUGGGCCCAUAUUAACAUUUUAUUUGAAUUUUCCUUUUUCUAACAGCAAGAUAACAUCAGUCAUUCCCCUCCAAACCCUAAGAUGCGUACAUACUCCUUUACUUGUUACCCUAUCCCUAUAUAUGUUAACCACACUUUUGGUUUGUCUGUGAAUACCAUCACUAAACAUCAGUCAAAACUGUAAAAAUGUCACCUUUGCUUCACUGCCCCCUUCUUUGAUUUUUUAUUUAGAAAAAACAUGUAAAUACCGUGCCUCAUGUAACCCACUCUGGGACACAUUCUCAGUUUGCACUGUUUGUGUUCCAGGCUACGGUUCUCAACUUGGUUUGGGACAAAAUUAAUUUUGAUUUCUUUAAGUCCAUAGUGCCUAUUAUUUUAACCUUUUGGCUUGACACACUGGGGAAACAUGGGCCCACUAUGACUACUUUGUCUCUCCUGACCUGGAAAAUUAGUAUCAGUGCAGACUGCCUGAGACCUUCGCUAGACCCAGAUUCCCCACCGCCAGCAAUCUCCCCAGUUUCUCAGUAGAAGCUAUGAGAAGAGUGCAGCUGGUGAAACCACCUUUACAAAAAUUAUAACAGUGAAAGAAGUCUGAUGUAACCAACUCCAUCUUUUUUUUUUUUUUUUUCCGAGACGGAGUCUUGCUCUGUUGCCCAGGC
rnacentral:lncRNA from 10 species